rnacentral:rRNA from 1 species
UACAGAGGGGGCAAGCGUUAUUCGGAAUUAUUGGGCGUAAAGGGCGCGUAGGCGGCUUGGCAAGUGGAAGGUGAAAUCCCUCGGCUUAACCGAGGAACUGCCCUCCAAACUGCUUUGCUUGAGGCCGGGAGAGGUGAGUGGAAUUCCCAGUGUAGCGGUGAAAUGCGUAGAUAUUGGGAGGAACACCAGUGGCGAAGGCGGCUCACUGGCCCGGUACUGACGCUGAGGUGCGAAAGCGUGGGGAGCAAACAGG